rnacentral:rRNA from 1 species
AUAUUGCACAAUGGGCGCAAGCCUGAUGCAGCGACGCCGCGUGAGGGAUGAAGGCCUUCGGGUUGUAAACCUCUUUCAGCAGGGAAGAAGCGCAAGUGACGGUACCUGCAGAAGAAGCGCCGGCUAACUACGUGCCAGCAGCCGCGGUAAUACGUAGGGCGCAAGCGUUGUCCGGAAUUAUUGGGCGUAAAGAGCUCGUAGGCGGUUUGUCGCGUCUGGUGUGAAAACUCAAGGCUCAACCUUGAGCUUGCAUCGGGUACGGGCAGACUAGAGUGCGGUAGGGGUGACUGGAAUUCCUGGUGUAGCGGUGGAAUGCGCAGAUAUCAGGAGGAACACCGAUGGCGAAGGCAGGUCACUGGGCCGCAACUGACGCUGAGGAGCGAAAGCAUGGGGAGCGAACAGG